GAUGAACGCUGGCGGCGUGCUUAACACAUGCAAGUCGAACGGAAAGGCUCCUGCUUGCAGGGGUACUCGAGUGGCGAACGGGUGAGUAACACGUGGGUGAUCUGCCCUGCACUUCGGGAUAAGCCUGGGAAACUGGGUCUAAUACCGGAUAGGACCACAUUUUGGAUGGUGUUGUGGAAAGUUUUUCGGUGUAGGAUGAGCUCGCGGCCUAUCAGCGUGUUGGUGGGGUAAUGGCCUACCAAGGCGUAGACGGGUAGCCGGCCUGAGAGGGUGUACGGCCGCUCUGGGCUCGUGAGACGGCCCAGAGUCCGACGGGAGGCAGCAGUGGGGAAUAUUGGACAAUGGGCGCAAGCCUGAUGCAGCGAGGCCGCGUGGGGGAUGACGGCCUUCGGGUUGUAAACACCUUUCGCUAGGGACGAAGCGUUUUUGUGACGGUACCUGGAGAAGAAGCACCGGCUAACUACGUG
rnacentral:rRNA from 1 species